UUCUUUAUUCAAGAUAACAUGAACAUAAAAGCAACAGAGAGUGAAGCAUAUAGAGUCCAACCAUGCAUGCUUGCUCAAUGCUCAUUCGUUGCCAGCUGAAUUGUUCUGUUAAUAUUUUUUGAAUAGUAAUAUAGAAAUAAUUUGAGACUUCGACUUGUCUUUUGGUAAACCACUGUAACAACACAAGCAGGUUGAGACAUGGAAGAAAAAUACAAAUCCUUAUGUGGUUUGUCUGAGAAUUUCUUUUUUUUAUAUUUAAUAAAUCAGAAUUGUUGUAAAAGGACUUACACAUGGUCAUCAUUCUGUUGGCUGCAGCUAAACAGGAGUUCGUCAGUUGACUCAUGAAGGGCAGUGCGUCUUCUUUCCUUGUCGGAAUAUGGAAAGUAUUUCCACCUCUCUAGCUCAGCUUCACACUCUUCUGAACUUUUGCUUGUCGCAAUGGUUCGUGAUCAGCAAAAGAGAGAAUCUGACUCACUAAGGGGAUAUUGGAACAUUUCUCUGAGUGGUGUAAUUUCUCUGAGUGGUGUAUAUGUUAAUGACUAAAAGGAUUUACUCUUGUAUUUGCUGCAUUGUAUGUUUGUAGUUGCUUAUGCUAUUUAAGUUACAAUAAUUAUUUUACCAUGAGAUUACUCAAUUUGUG
rnacentral:lncRNA from 1 species